GGGAGCGCAUGGGUGCCUGGUGGCCUCCGCGGUCUUCAAAACCGUUGCGGCGUCGGUUUUCCGGCGACGGGUGGGUUCGAUUCCUACACGCUCCCG
rnacentral:tRNA from 1 species